rnacentral:rRNA from 1 species
UAGGGAAUCUUCCGCAAUGGGCGAAAGCCUGACGGAGCAACGCCGCGUGAGUGAUGAAGGUCUUCGGAUCGUAAAACUCUGUUAUUAGGGAAGAACAAAUGUGUAAGUAACUAUGCACGUCUUGACGGUACCUAAUCAGAAAGCCACGGCUAACUACGUGCCAGCAGCCGCGGUAAUACGUAGGUGGCAAGCGUUAUCCGGAAUGAUUGGGCGUAAAGCGCGCGUAGGCGGUUUUUUAAGUCUGAUGUGAAAGCCCACGGCUCAACCGUGGAGGGUCAUUGGAAACUGGAAAACUUGAGUGCAGAAGAGGAAAGUGGAAUUCCAUGUGUAGCGGUGAAAUGCGCAGAGAUAUGGAGGAACACCAGUGGCGAAGGCGACUUUCUGGUCUGUAACUGACGCUGAUGUGCGAAAGCGUGGGGAUCAAACAGG